UCUGCUCUAUCAACAGAACGUGUACGACUGUUGAGGGGAGUAGGGAAGGUUGAAGAGUGGGGCCAUAGGUCAAUUGAAAUUGUAUCUCAAGUAGCUUACACACGGUGAGACUCGCCUCGCUGCGUCUAGCGAGAAACCAUUAUACGUACGUAUCCAUGAUACGAAUGUGAUCGUGCGCAAGGAAGAAACAGCGUACCCUUCGAUCAGCCGGGUGGAAGAAAAUUAGAUGGUCGAGAAAAAAGAGCGUCGUUGACAGUGGAUGACGUACGUAAGUAGUACAUACAUACAUUUACGUACUACGCGAGGUGCCCGUGAGAAAAUACGUCGAGGAAGAGAAGUCUAGGAAGACUCGGGAAGGUGGGUCGAAAACAACCAAAGACUAGAGCCGAGCACGAGGAGACCGCUUAAGGAGCUCAACCAUGCGUGCUUCCCCGUACUCGCGAGCGUUACAGGUGAGCCGAAGUAACCACGAAACGAAUCUUCUUCGAGCGUACAACAACGAGAAAAUGGAUGAAAAAAAAAGACGGACGAAAAGAGUAAAAAAGAGAGAAAGAGUAAACAUAGAUCCAUGUACAUGUUUAAAACCUGCAUUUCCAUUCGCUGACUUUUUAAACAUUCAACAUUCGCUAUUUUAAUUCGUUCGAUGCGUUAUUACGGAACUUUGAUAUUUCGAUUCGUUUUACCAAACUCCAUAUUUAGUGUACCUUUUGCAGAUUUCGAUGAACUUGCAGAAAUAAGAUAUUCUUAAUAUUGUAUGUUACGUUCGAUUUGUACCAGUAAUAUACACACGUAUGUAUAUACAAUUAAAUUAAAUAAAAAUAUAUAAACAACGCAAUUGAAUUUAAA